rnacentral:tRNA from 2 species
GCAGUCGUGGCCGAGUGGUUAAGGCGAUGGACCAGAAAUCCAUUGGGGUCUCCCCCCACAAGUUCGAAUCCUGUCGGCUGCG